UACGUAGGGGGCAAGCGUUGUCCGGAAUCAUUGGGCGUAAAGAGCGUGUAGGCGGCUCGAUAAGUCUGCUGUGAAAGUCCAGGGCUCAACCCUGGAAGGCCGGUGGAAACUGUCGGGCUAGAGUCCGGAAGAGGCGAGUGGAAUUCCCGGUGUAGCGGUGAAAUGCGCAGAUAUCAGGAGGAACACCGAUGGCGAAGGCAGCUCGCUGGGACGGUACUGACGCUGAGGCGCGAAAGCGUGGGGAGCAAACAGG
rnacentral:rRNA from 1 species